UACGUAGGGCGCAAGCGUUGUCCGGAAUUAUUGGGCGUAAAGAGCUCGUAGGCGGCUUGUCACGUCGGGUGUGAAAGCCCCGGGGCUUAACCCCGGGUCUGCAUUCGAUACGGGCUAGCUAGAGUGUGGUAGGGGAGAUCGGAAUUCCUAGUGUAGCGGUGAAAUGCGCAGAUAUUAGGAGGAACACCGGUGGCGAAGGCGCCGCUCUGGGCCGAAACUGACGCUGAGGAGCGAAAGCAUGGGUAGCAAACAGG
rnacentral:rRNA from 1 species